rnacentral:rRNA from 1 species
CGGCAGCAUGUUCUAACUUCGGUUAGAAUGAUGGCGAGUGGCGGAGGGUGAGUAACGCGUAGGAAUCUACCUGAGAGUGGGGGAUAACUCGAGGAAACUCGAGCUAAUACCGCAUAAUCUCUACGGAGCAAAGCUGGGGACCUUUUAGGCCUGGCACUUUCAGAUGAGCCUGCGUCAGAUUAGCUAGUUGGUGGGGUAAAGGCCUACCAAGGCGACGAUCUGUAGCUGAUUUGAGAGGAUGAUCAGCCACACUGGGACUGAGACACGGCCCAGACUCCUACGGGAGGCAGCAGUGGGGAAUUUUGGACAAUGGGCGAAAGCCUGAUCCAGCAAUGCCGCGUGUGCGAUGAAGGCCUUCGGGUUGUAAAGCACUUUCAGUUGUGAAGAAAUGUAUGUAGUUAACAGCUACGUAAGCUGACGUUAACAACAAAAGAAGCACCGGCUAACUCUGUGCCAGCAGCCGCGGUAAUACAGAGGGUGCGAGCGUUAAUCGGAAUUACUGGGCGUAAAGAGCGCGUAGGUGGUCUACUAAGUCAUGUGUGAAAGCCCCGAGCUUAACUUGGGAAUUGCACGUGAUACUGGUAGUCUAGAGUAUGAUAGAGGAAAGCAGAAUUUCUAGUGUAGAGGUGAAAUUCGUAGAUAUUAGAAAGAAUACCAAUUGCGAAGGCAGCUUUCUGGAUCAUUACUGACACUGAGGAACGAAAGCAUGGGUAGCGAAGAGGAUUAGAUACCCUCGUAGUCCAUGCCGUAAACGAUGUGUGUUAGACGUUGGAAAUUUAUUUUCAGUGUCGCAGGGAAACCGAUAAACACACCGCCUGGGGAGUACGACCGCAAGGUUAAAACUCAAAUGAAUUGACGGGGACCCGCACAAGUAGUGGAGCAUGUGGUUUAAUUCGAAGAUACGCGCAGAACCUUACCAACACUUGACAUGUUCGUCGCGACUCUAAGAGAUUAGAGUUUUCGGUUCGGCCGGACGAAACACAGGUGCUGCAUGGCUGUCGUCAGCUCGUGUCGUGAGAUGUUGGGUUAAGUCCCGCAACGAGCGCAACCCUCACUUUUAGUUGCCAUCAUUAAGUUGGGCACUCUGAAAGAACUGCCAGUGAUAAGCUGGAGGAAGGUGGGGAUGACGUCAAGUCCUCAUGGCCCUUACGUGUUGGGCUACACACGUGCUACAAUGGUAUCUACAACAGGAAGCAAGACUGCGAAGUUAAGCAAAUCCCUAAAAGAUACCUCAGUUCGGAUUGCACUCUGCAACUCGAGUGCAUGAAGCUGGAAUUACUAGUAAUCGUGGAUCAGCGUGCCACGGUGAAUGCGUUCCCGGGUCUUGUACACACCGCCCGUCACACCAUGGGAGUUGGUUCUACCUUAAGGCAAGGUUCAAACCC